UCAGCAAGCUGUUUAUGUUUCAUUUUGUAAUUUUAAGUUAGAGUAAUGUAACUUAGUUGCAUUAUAACUAUGUUAGGUUUAUGUUUGAUGUAAUUUUGAUGUUGAUUGAGCUGAUAAAUCAGCUUUGUUUAUUUGUUCAAGCUAAUUAGCACAAGUUACUAUGUGUAUUAGUGGUAGUAGCUGAAGUUUAGGUCAACCUACUGUUUUGUCAAGAUUGUAAACUUGUUUUAUGUAUUGGCUUUGUGCCAUAUUCAGUUUGUAGAAUGAAAUCAAUGAAGUUUUCAUCUCUAUGCUCUCUAUUUUAGUUUUAUUUCAAAAUCUGUUUGAGUUUUCUGCUUUGUUUCUACUGCAAGUCACGAGACUUGCUCGACAAGCAUUCUGCUGAAGCUUGCUGCUGUUGCACUUAGAUCCAACAAUUGGUAUCUAGAGCCAUAUUCUUAGAGGACCUGUUGUAGUUUAGUAUCAAAACCAUGGCAUCAUCAGGUUUUUCACCAGCUUCACCACCUGUCUUCAAUGGAGAGGGCUUCAACAUUUGGGCAGUUAAGAUGAGGACUUACCUGCAGGCAUUCGACCUAUGGGAAGUUGUUAACUCAGAUGCUGAGCCAGCACCUCUUCGAGCUAAUCCAACAGUUGCUCAAAUGAGGCAACACGCUGAUGAAAGAACAAAAAGGCACAAGGCCAUGUCAUGCAUAUAGAAUUGUGUGACAAAUGUGAUCUUUAUGAGGAUCAUGGCCUGUGAAACACCAAAGGAGGCUUGGGACAAGCUGAAAGAAGAAUUUCAGGGGACUGAGAGAACAAGGCAACAAUAGCUGCUCAAUUUAAGAAGAGAUUUCGAAAAUCUCAAAAUGAAAGAGGAAGAAACAGUUAAGCAGUACUCAGAUCGGAUUAUGGUUGUUGUAAACAGCAUAAGGCUCCUUGGAGAGCAAUUCAGUGAAGCUAGAAUAGUUGAGAAAGUUAUGUCCACUCUACCAGAGAGGUAUGAAGCCAAAAUUUCAUCUCUCAAAGACUCAAGGGACUUGACAACUAUCUCUUUAACUGAGCUAAUCAAUGCCUUGUAUGCACAAGAGCAAAGAAGAGCCAGCAGACAAGAGGAGCACCAGGAAGGUGCUUUUCAAGCCAAAACAAAAGAAGCCUCGAGCACCAAUGCUCAUAAAGGCAAAAAGUUCUAGAAAAACAGGCCUAAGCCUGAUGCUGCUAGAAGCAGUGACCAACUCUGCAGACAUUGUAAAAGAGCUGGUCAUCCAGAAGAUAGAUGCUGGUUUAGACCAGAUGCAGGAUGCCAACACUGCAAGAAAAAGGGCCAUGUUGAAAAGGUUUGCAAGAACAGAAGCAAACCAAGACAGAAUCAAUUUCAGCAACAAAAGGCAGAAGCUCGAGUAGCUGAAGAAAGCAGUGAUCAAGAAGAACAUGUUUUUGCUGUGUCAUGUGCAGCAAGUCAGAAGAAGAGUUCAAAGGGCUGGCUUCUAGACAGUGGGUGCACAAACCACAUGUCACCAGAUGCAACUAUCUUCAAAACCUUGGACAGAACCUGCAAAACCAAGGUGAAAAUUGGAAAUGGUCAGUUUAUUAAUGCUGAAGGAAGAGGAGAUGUGCUGAUUCAUACCUCUACAGGUAGCAAAAUCAUUUCAAAUGUACUUUUGGUACCUGAAAUCGAUAGGAACCUUCUCAGUAUAACUCAACUACUUGAGAAAGGUUACUCAGUUGUGUUCCAGGAGAAAGAAUGCCAAAUUUUUGAUCCAAGUGGAUCAAAUCUCAUAACAGUCACCAUGACUGAUAAAUGUUUUGAAGUAGACUGGCCAAAUGACUUGCAUUCAGCCUGCAUAGCCUUCACUGAUGACUCUAGACUCUGGCACCAGAGGCUUGGACAUGCAAACUUCAAAUCCAUAGCCCGAAUGGUCAAUGAAGGACUUGCUGAAAAUUUCAUCGAUUCAGUGAAGAAUGAUGAGCUUUGUGAGAUAUGUCAGCAAGGAAAAUUGGCAAGAUUGCCAUUUCCUACAGGCACAACAUGUAGAGCAUCAGAGAAGCUGCAGCUUGUGCACACUGAUGUGUGUGGACCAAUGAAGACCGAGUCUCUCAAAGGAAGCAGGUACUUUAUACUCUUUAUUGAUGAUUUGACAAGAUACUGCUGGAUUUAUUUUCUAAAGCAAAAAUCAGAAGUUGCAUCUGUGUUCUUGAAGUAUAAAGCUGCUGUUGAAACUGAGUCUGGUUGCAAACUUAAAGCACUGAGGUCAGAUAAUGGAACUGAGUACACCUCAGCUCAGUUCCAAGCCUACUGUGAAGAAGCAGGCAUCAAACACCAGUUGACUAAUGUGUAUACACCCCAACAGAAUGGGGUCAGUGAAAGGAAAAAUAGAAGCUUGAUGAACAUGGCAAGAUGUCUUAUGUUUGAGAAGAAUUUGCCCAAAACUCUGUGGGCUGAAGCUGUUAACACAGCAGUUUAUCUCCAAAACAGGCUCCCAACUAAGGCUCUGGCUGAGAAGACUCCGUUUGAAGCCUGGUUUGAGUUUAAGCCAUCACUAGCUCAUCUCAGAACCUUUGGUUGUCUGUGCUACACUCAAGUUCCAGCUGAGAAAAGAAGCAAACUAGAUAAAAGAGCUCAAGCAGGGAUCCUGAUCGGCUAUAGUUUGGUUAAAAAGGGUUACAGAAUCCUAAAACCUGCUACAAACAAGAUACUGGUUAGCAGGGAUGUUGUCUUCAAUGAAAAAGGAUACUGGAAUUGGGAAAAGGCUAAGCCAGAGGCAGUGGCUGAAGAUCUGGCAUUGGACCAAGCUGAAGAUAAUGAAAACACACUUGAAAUGGAUGUAGAUGAUGUUCCAAUCAGAUGUACUCGAUCACUGGCUGAUGUUUAUGAAAGAGCACAAGUGGCCACUGUUGAACCAAGUUGCUUUGAAGAAGCAGAGAGCCAGGAGGGGUGGAAGCAGGCAAUGAUUGAAGAAAUCAGAAUGAUUGAAAAGAAUCAGACCUGGAGUCUGAUUGAAAGACCAACAAACAGGAAGAUUAUUGGUGUCAAAUGGGUUUAUCGAGUUAAGAACAAUGUUGAUGGUAGCCUAAACAAGUUAAAGGCUAGACUGGUUGUGAAAGGCUUCAGUCAAAGGUAUGGAUCAGACUACCUGGAAACCUUUGCACCAGUGGCCAGGCUAGACACCAUCAGACUGCUAGUUGCCUUAGCAGCACAAAAACAGUGGUUGAUACACCAACUUGAUGUAAAAUCAGCAUUUCUAAAUGGAUUCCUUGAAGAGGAGAUUUAUGUGGAGCAACCUCAAGGUUUCAAGGUGUCUGGCAAGGAAGAAAUGGUGUACAAGCUCAACAAAGCCUUGUAUGGCUUGAAACAGGCUCCAAGGGCCUGGUAUAGUAGAAUAGAUGGCUAUCUGACCAGUCUAGGAUUUGAAAGAAGUCUUAGCGAGCCAACUCUGUAUGUUAAAUCAACUAGUGCUGAAACUCAGCUCAUUGUCUCAAUAUAUGUCGAUGACCUACUGGUGACAGGAGGAGAUCAUGAGAUGCUAAGCAGCUUUAAAGCCAAAAUGCAACAGCACUUUGAAAUGUCAGACUUGGAAUUGAUGUCUUACUUCUUAGGCAUGGAAGUAACUCAAGCUAAGAAUGGGAUUUGGCUAAGUCAAAAGACCUUUGCUAUGAAGGUUCUCAACAAAUUCUCAAUGGAGAAUUGCAAAGCAACCAGCACACCAGUUGCUAUUGGAGAAAAACUCUCGAGCCAAGACAAGCAUGAAAAGGUUUGUGAAACAACCUAUCGAAGUCUAGUUGGAUGUUUGUUGUAUUUGACUGCUACUAGACGUGACAUAAUGUAUGCUGUAAGUCUACUCUCGAGGUUUAUGCAUUGUUCAAAUGAAAGUCAUUUUAGAGCUGCAAAAAGGGUUCUAAGAUACAUCAAAGGAACCUUGUCCUAUGGAAUGCAGUUUACCAAGGCUGAGAACUUGAAGCUAGUUGGAUAUUGUGACAGUGAUUGGGCUGGUUCCUUGGAUGACAUGAAGAGCACUACAGGUUAUGCAUUCAACAUAGGCUCUGCUAUGAUUUGUUGGAGCUCAAAGAAGCAGGGAGUAGUGGCUCAGUCGACUGCAGAAGCAGAAUAUGUGGCUGCUGCUGCAGCAGUCAAUCAAGCCAUAUGGCUUAGAAAAAUUUUGAAAGAUAUCAAUCAUGAGCAAAAGGAAGCAACUGAGAUAAUGUGUGACAACCAAUCAGUAGUUGCUAUUGCAAAGAAUCCUGUUUUUCAUGGAAGGACCAAGCACUUCAACAUCAAACUUCAUGCAGUUCGAGAAAUGGAGCAAGCUCAUGUUGUUAAGCUGAUACAUUGCAGUUCUGAAGAGCAAAUUGCUGACAUUUUAACAAAAGCACUAAGUGUUUCCAAGUUUCAACACCUGAGAGCUAAGAUGGGAGUUUGCAACAUGCUAACCAAGGAGGAGUGUUGAAGUAAUGGUCAGCAUGCAGCAACCAAGACUAUCGAAGGCACUACAUGUAGAAGCUGCUGGUUCUUCAAGUCAGCAAGCUGUUUAUGUUUCAUUUUGUAAUUUUAAGUUAGAGUAAUGUAACUUAGUUGCAUUAUAACUAUGUUAGGUUUAUGUUUGAUGUAAUUUUGAUGUUGAUUGAGCUGAUAAAUCAGCUUUGUUUAUUUGUUCAAGCUAAUUAGCACAAGUUACUAUGUGUAUUAGUGGUAGUAGCUGAAGUUUAGGUCAACCUACUGUUUUGUCAAGAUUGUAAACUUGUUUUAUGUAUUGGCUUUGUGCCAUAUUUAGUUUGUAGAAUGAAAUCAAUGAAGUUUUCAUCUAUAUGCUCUCUAUUUUAGUUUUAUUUCAAAAUCUGUUUGAGUUUUCUGCUUUGUUUCUACUGCAAGUCACGAGACUUGCUCGACAAGCAUUCUGCUGAAGCUUGCUGCUGUUGCACUUAGAUCCAACAAAGGCUAAGCACAUUUAAGUUCUUGAGAGCUCCAAUAACGGUUAGGUUAUCUCCCAAAUUGCAGCAAUCUAGGCACAAUGUACUGAGGCUAGUUAGGAGACCAAUCGAUGAAGGUAAAGAAGAAAAAUGCAUGCGAGUCAAAUCUAAGACUUUAAGAUUUUUUGCUUCCUUGAAGAAGUUAUCCGACAACAUCGCCUUGCUUGACAAAAGGAAAAGAAAAAGCAGCGGGCAAUUCAACUGGUCAGGAAGCUUGUAAAUACUAGAAUGCGGCAAAAUAAUCUUGUUGCACUCUUUCAUUGACUCUCCAUUUGGCCAAUCUGUUACAAUAUCCUCAUCCUCUGUUAAAGCAAGCACUUGAUUGUCCUUUGAAGCGAUUGAUUUGGCCACAAUAUAAGUAAGAUCAUGCACAUCAAAGUAUUCCUUAUUGGAACUUUUGCUAUCAAGCAACAAACAAGAUUCUUUGAGGGUACUCAGCAUUUUUAACAGCCUAUCUCGUGCUGCUUUCAUGCUGUUGGCUCCUUUAAUUAGACCCAAACCAAGAGCAUAUCUCAACAAGCCUUCAAUCCUAACGACACGACGCAGUAAACUGCAAAGUAGGAAAAUUUGCUUGAGGUCUUCACUCGAUAAAUGAUUGAUACUCAACUCAGUAGCCGAAUGUACCUUAGCAGAUAUAUCAUCUGAGCUUUUUUCUAAGUAAGGCCUCUGUAAUUGUUGUAAAGCAUCACUCCAAAAAAAUAAAUGUUUAUUUCGCAACGCCCUUGCAACUGUAAAGCAUCACUCCAAAAAAAUAAAGGUUUAUUUCGCAACGCCCUUGCAACAGUUGCAAGGGCGAGUGGUAAUCUUGCACAUUUCUCGGCUACCUUAAUUGCUGUAGAUCGCAGCUCCUCAUCACUUUCAAAACUGUCCCCGGCCAUCUUCCUAAAGAACUCCCAAGCUUCUUCGUUUUCUAAAUCACCAAUUGCAAAGGUCUUUGUAGCAUCCAUUCCAUUGCUUAGAACAUUUUGAUCUCUUGAGGUCAACAGUAUUUUGCAUCCUUUGUGUCGACUUCCAAAUGGAAUUCCGACUUCCUCUAGAUCCAGUUUCUUCCAAAGAUCAUCCAAAAUAAUAAGAACAUUUUUAUCCUUCCUUAACCUUUCAAACAAUCUACGGGCUCUUACAACCGGACUGUUUUCUUCAAGCUUCAAACCCAAUGAGUAUGCUAUUUGGUCUUGGAUUUCCUUAAUGUCAGGAAUUCGAGAUACAAUUGCCCUGACAACUGAAUCGAAUAACUUAACCUCAUGGAGUUGUCUCUCAACUUCUUUGACCAGCGAUGUUUUGCCCACACCAGCCAUCCCGUACACUCCAAUCAUGCCUGUUGUUGCAUCUUUCAGUGACUCCAUGAUAUCAUCGAAAACCUCCUCUCUUGAUUUAAAUGCCUCAAAGUCUGGAUGGACUAUGGGUCCAGGAACAUCAUGGUAUCCCACGCCCUCAAAUUGGCAAUCUUUGAUAAGCUCAUCAAAAGUGGCAGCAGCUUCUUCAGCUUUCCUGCUAAGCUGUUAGCGAGACUUGAUGUUGGGACACAAGCCAAAGAAGCACUUGGUCUUCGCUUUGACUUCAAGAUCCUUCACUUUCUUCUCCUUUUCAGUGACAACCUUCUCCACUCGGUGGCGCCAAUCCAGGACAUCGGCUUUAAUCUUCUCCCCGUUCAUUUCUGCAACAUCAACAUCUUGCUGCACACUUGUUCUUUUUGCAAUCAACGUCCUGUGUUUCUGCUCGAACUUGUCAACAAUUUUCUGGUAGAAGAUUACAUAUGUAAUAUGACGUUUAACAUGGUGGAAAAUACCUUUGGCAGCCUCGGAAGAGACAUUGGCAGCAGCACCAGUACCAAUUGCUUCCAUUUUUAUUUUAUUUUUUUGCUUUGGGGAUACAGAUGACAGUCAGAGAGUAGAAAAAGAGGCAAGAAAGAAAAUACUAAAAGGAAAUAAGCAAGCAAGAAGAAAUCAGAAAUGAUGUGAAGAAGCCAUUAGCAGAUAAGGAAUAGAAAUUCAGAAAGGCGUGGAAUUGGAUAUGGACUGUUGUCUUUGACUCUGUUAGACUUUAGAUUAGAAAUCAAAGAACCAGCAAAAGAAAGCAGAGAAUGGAUGUGGACGGUUGCGGGUAUUUUCAGUGGAAAUUAAGUUUAAUGAUUUAACUUAUAAAAAUUACAUAAUUAUUUAUGAGAAUAUUAUAUUUUUAUUAGGGAUGUUCAUUCGGUUGACCGACCCGAAAUAAUAUUAAUUGAAUUAACCAACUUUUUAAAAUCUUUAACCGUUAACCGAACCAAAAUUUUUUAAAAAAAAUUAACCGAACCGAAAUUUUUCGGUUAAUAGAUUACUCCUAUUGUUGAUAUAUGCAACCGCACAACAUUGCAAUUAAAAAAAUUACAAGAAAAAAAGUUCAAUUUUUUAUCCUCUUACUAGAUUUAUUUGGUCAAGCAAACAAAAGAGAUCAAACUUUGUAAAACAACAAUCAUCCUCCAUCUCCUUCCCCAUUCAUCUUCAAGUUUUUCAUUGUUCUUAUACCCUCGCUCAAAUCUCACAAUCUCAAAUACUAUACCAAAUCAAUAUCCAACUUUACUAGACCCAAACUACAUCACCACUUCAUCAUCGAGCACUCAUCGCUAAACCCACAUCGAAAGACGUCUUUUUUUUUUUACAAACAUACCUAAACUCUGUUUCGCAUUUUCUUUUAAUGAGGAAAAAUCAGUUAAUGAAGCAUCACUUAGUCUUAAGCAUCUAAAUCCCUCAAAGCCCUGCAUUUUGCAGCUGAAAUAGAGCCAAAGAUGUUUCUAUAAUUAAAGGCUUUUUUAUUUGAAUCUCUCAGCCAACUAUUUGAUCAUGGUUCUAGUAGAAUUUGGUAGUGAUUGAUUCAAAAAAGUAAUUCAAAAGACUCAUUUAGUUGGGUGAGGUUUAAAGAAAAAAAAGGAAAUAUUUAUUCAAAAAAUUCAAGAAAAUUUGAGGGUUAAAUUUUGUUGAAUCCCUAAAAAAAAGGUAAAUUAAAGAAAUAUUUAUUUGAAUCCCUCAACCAAAUUCAUAUUUAAUCCUUUAUGUAAUUUUAUAUAUAUUUUUAGUAAUUUAUAUUUUUAUGUCAUUUUAUAAUAAAUUUUUAUAUAUUUUCAAGUUUUUAAAACUAUAAUUUUUUUUAAUUUGGACUAAAUUGCCAAAAUAAGCAAAUAUUGAGGGUUAAAUUUGUUGAAUUUUUAGAAUUAAGAACAAAUAGACAAAAUGUGUAAAGUGUUAAGGGUUAAUUUUGUUUUUAUAACAAGUAAAAGACGAUCAUGUCAACAUUUUGUUUAGUGACCAAGGCAUUUUAAUGGAGUGACUAAAAAUGACAAUUAAUCUAACGGGUGACUAAAUUAACAAAAACAAAUCGNNNNNNNNNNNNNNNNNNNNNNNNNNNNNNNNNNNNNNNNNNNNNNNNNNNNNNNNNNNNNNNNNNNNNNNNNNNNNNNNNNNNNNNNNNNNNNNNNNNNNNNNNNNNNNNNNNNNNNNNNNNNNNNNNNNNNNNNNNNNNNNNNNNNNNNNNNNNNNNNNNNNNNNNNNGAUGAGUGACAAAAAAUAAUAUUUCAAUACCUUUAAUGGUAAUUAUAUAACUUUUGAAAGUUGAAUGACUGAAAUACAAUUUGAAUCAAAGUUUAGAAACAAUUGGUAUAGUUUAUUCUAUUUUAUACACUUUUGAACCCUCAGUAAAUUCUUCUUAAUAUUAUUUUAGUUCUAAUUAGUUAUGAUUAAUUAAAUAAAACUAAUGUAAAAAAUUAAAUAAAACUAAAAAAAGAUUAUUAUGAUAAUAUUUUUUUAUACUUUUAAAUUUUUUAAAGAAAAAAAUUAUAAAUUAAAUAAUUAAAUACAUGUUGAAUAAUAUUAUAAUACAAGUUUAUUAUCAGUUGACCUAUAUCUAUAAUUAAAUAAUUUUUUUUAAAAAUUAACAUAUAAUUUUUUUUUAUUGGUGGGCAAUUUAGGGAAAUUUGAGUAGAAGUAGUAGGUUAAUUUUCCAAUAAAAGCCCUUUUUUUUUCAAAAUUUACCGGAAUGAGCCGAUUUUUUGAUUAUUUACCGGAAUGGGCCAUUUUCCGCGAAAUCUCAUCCACGUCAGUGCGAUGCCAGGGUACGCGCCAGGAAAUCGCGUCCACGUCAGCGCGACUUGCUGACGUGGACAGAAAUCGCGCCCUAGAGGAUGCGAUUUGCUGACGUGGCAUGAACAGUUUAUGUUUUUUAGCUUGAAAAACUUCGAAAGACCAUAACUUUUGGCUCGGUUGUCCGAUUGAGCCGAUUUUUUUAUUUCGAAUAAAUUUUUGAGAUCUACGCGCUGACAAACUCUUAGAGAUGAAUAGGGACUAAUUUGUAAAGUAUAAUUUGUUAGUUACGAGUAUAGGGACUAAAGUGUAAUUAUUUCAAAAUUAGCAUGAAAUUUUUGUAUUUAAGAAUAUUUGAAUGUUAUGGAAGGAUGAAAUUGAAUUUGAAUUGAAAAACGAAGCUUAGAUUUGAAAAUAUGACUAUUUAGGUUUUAGGGACUAAAUUGAAUAAAAUGGAAAAUUUUAGGGAACUUCUCAAAAGUGGAAUGAGCUGACUUAUACCUAUAACAGGAUGAUAUAAGACAAUUCUGUAAAAAGAGAUCCGGUGUUUACUUCAAAUAAAUGAGGAAAAUAACGAUUUGAAUGUUUCAAAAUUCAAUUUUAAACCAAAAAAAUCGAAAUUUAGGGGCAAAAAAGGAUCUUUUUCGAUGAAAAAUUUGGCAAACCGCCUACGGCUAUUUGCCAGUGCGUAGAUCUUGAAAAUUUAUUCGAAAUAAAAAAAUCGUCUCAAUCGGACAACCGAGCGAAAAGUUAUGGCCUUUCAAAGUUUUCCAAGCUUAAAAACAUAAACUGUUCAUCCACGUCAGCAAAUCGCGUCCUUGUAGGCGCGAUUUGUGUCCACGUAAGCAAAUCGCGCUGACGUGGACGCGAUGUCCUGACACGUACCCUGACAUCGCGCUUACGUGGACGCGAUUUCGUGAAAAAUGGCCCAUUCUGGUAAGUAAUUAAAAAAAACCGGCCCAUUUCGAUAAAUUUUAACGACUUUUUUUUGGUAAAAUAGCCGAAGUAGUAAUAUUUUUAUUUUCAGUUUUGAAGUUUCAACCUUAUUUUGUUUUCAGCUUGUUCAAUAAUUGAUAAGGUUGGCCACUUGUUCAAUAAUUGAGGAGGCUGGUCGUGUGGGUCUCAUGAAAUGGCACGUGACAUCAUAAUUGAUUUCCUAUUGUUUCGGUUCUACAAAAUAGUUUAUAUUUUGUUUUGCUUGAAAUUGUAAUGUGUUUCAACUCAAUUUUGGUUAAUAUCAAUUUGUAUUGGUGUAUUUAAAUUAAAUUACAGAGUAAAAAAGUAAAAAAUAAAAUAUAUUUUCUAUAUUCGAAAUUUAACAUUUCUACUUUUAUUUUUAGAAAUUCAAUUUAUCUAUUUUCGAAAUUAAAAAUAUAGAUCUAAUUGCUAUCACCGUUAAAAUUUUCUAUAAAAUUAUACAAUGACAUUUAAAAAUUAAAAAAGUUUACUUGAUAACCAUGUAAUAAUAAAAAUAAUGUUAUAAAUAUCGAUUGAGAUUUUUUUUAACACUGUACAUUUGAAUUUGUUAUGGUAAAAAAAUUUUCCCAUUUGAAUAGUAUUUUUAACAAAAAUUGACAUCAAAAUUUGGAUAACAAUUUAACUUAAAGUAAAAAACUAAAUUAUGUUAAAAACUGAACUAUACAUAUAACAACCCACAUUUAAUCCAAUCAUUAAAUCUAAAUAUACAACAUCAGAAGCAAUUUGAAGUAGCUUCUCUUUAAAAGAAACAACACAAAUAUCAAGCAUUUAUCACCUUAUACAAACAUAAACAAUUUAUCACAUUCGAAAUGAAGCGAAUUUAAAAACAUAAACAAUUUAAAACAUGUUAUAUUAAAAACUGUAAGUAAUCAUUGUAAAAGUAUAUGUAUGUACUUUUUUUUUAAUUAAAAAAUUGUUUUCUAUUUGAAAAAUUCAGUUACAGUAAUUUUUUUAGUGUAAGAUAUAAACUUUAAUAUUUUUUUAAAUGUUAGUUACUUUAUUAACCUGUUAUUAAAUUUAAUAAUGAAUAACCAAAAUGUCAUAAAUUUCUAUUCAUUUGAAAUCUUUAAAUUAAAAUAAGUAAACCAAAGAUAUUAGAACGAAUUAAUACAAAAUAAAGUAUAUUUUUAAUGAUUUUUGUUAAAAUAAAAUGAUAAAAAUAUCUUCAAAUAAUAUAAUUAUUUUACUUUCGAAAAAUUAUUUGCGUAAUUUUUUUAAUCGAUCUGGUACCCGAUUGACUCGUAACACCAACUUAGACAAAAAUUUAAAUAAUAGCUUAGAUUUAUCAAUAAUUUAUUAUAUUAUUCAUCAUAUAUUACUAGUUUAUAAUUAUUUAUAAAAUUUACUAUAUAUUAUGAAUAUAUCAUAAAGAUAAAAUUAUUUAUCAUUCAGAGAUUUUGUAACACCCAAAAAUUUUGGUGACAUAAAUAGUAAAAUUUUCUUAUUUUCAUAUCUUUUUAAACAGAAAAAAACAAUGAUUUUAUUCAAAGAAAAAAAAAGGUUAAAAAGAAGCAAAAGGGUUUUGGAAGGCAAACAAUAAAGUGUAAAGAAGCUUUAAAUGUUUAAGGUUAUUUAAAUAUUCACAUGGAAAUAUUUCAUUAAUGGAAGCAUCAAUCACAACAAUAUUUAAGGUUAUAUCUCCAUGCAUGCAUACCAUGUUGUAUCCUUCCAUCUUUGCCAAAGUAUGUAUUAAAAUAAUAUUUCAUUAAUUGGAUGUCUUUUUAAGGAUGUAAAUGAUCAUUGGUUAUGUGGGUACUCCUUGAAAGUCAGCAAGGAAACUUUAUGCGGAAUCCCGGAUCUAAACACAAGAGAAACACAAAUUAGAAAUAAAAAAUAAGAAUAAAUAAAAGUAGUUAAAUAAUAAUAAAAAAUAGAUUUACCCUAUAGAACCCUUGGUUAACUUGCAACCAAAAACGCCAAUGAUUGAGCGGCUCCCUACGAAACCCCUAGAAGAAGAACCUCUAGAAACACCAAUGAACAGGAAAGAAAUUUGAAUAUUUGCAACUCCGAAAUACCCUCGAAAGUAACAAGCUCCAAACUAAAUAGCAAGAGAAGAAUCACUCUACUCUCAAAAAUUUGCCUCACACAAAUUUGAAUGAAAACAAAUACUCUUCUUUUUAUUCCUCCUCCAAUGUGUAGAAAACAAGCCUAUUUAUAGGCAAAUUACAAGAGUAAUUGAAUCCUAAUAAAACUCUUUUAAGAGUAAUUGAAUCCUAAUAAAAACUCUUUAAAGAGUAAUUGAAUCCUAAUAAAACUCUUUAAAAUUAUCUAAGAAAAUAAAUAAAUAAUAACCUAACCAAUAAAAUUACUUAACUCAUAAAUGAUGUGUCCCAACCAAUGAGAAUUAAGCAAAUAAUAAUAAUAAUAAUAAGAUACAUAANNNNNNNNNNNNNNNNNNNNNNNNNNNNNNNNNNNNNNNNNNNNNNNNNNNNNNNNNNNNNNNNNNNNNNNNNNNNNNNNNNNNNNNNNNNNNNNNNNNNNNNNNNNNNNNNNNNNNNNNNNNNNNNNNNNNNNNNNGAUUUUAAUUGUCGUGCCUUGCUUCGAGUGAUUGGACCACUAGGAAAGACAACCCUUUGAGUGUCACCUCCUUGACUCGUAUCAUUCUCCCCCUCUUCAAGAAGAUUCGUCCUCGAAUCUGAACCUACAUCAAAUUCAAAAGGAGAAAGAUCAGAAACAUUGAAAGUAGCACUAACACUAUACUCACCAGGAAGAUCAAUGCGAUAAGCAUUGUCAUUUAUUUUCUCGAGUACUUGGAAUGGUCCAUGUCCUCGUGCAUCAAGUUUAUUCUUUCUCUUAGAAGGAAAUCGUUCCUUCCUCAUAUGCACCCAUACCCAAUCUCCAGGUUCAAACAAGACUUGCUUUCGUCCUUUAUUAACUCGAUGUGCAUUGGACUCAUUCUUUUUCUCAAUGGCUUUACGAGCCUUCUCAUGGAUCUCUUUCACUAAAUCAGCUUUCCUUUCACCAUCUAAAUUAGCAAUCUCAUUCAAAGGUAAAGGAAGCAAAUCUAAAACAGUAAGUGGAUUAAAGCCAUAUACAAUCUCAAAAUGAAUAAAACCUGUGGAAGAAUGAACAGAACGAUUAUAAGCAAACUCAACAUAUUCUUCCCAAGAUUUAACAUUCUUACCUAUUAUGGCUCUAAGCAAAGAUCCCAAAACUCGAUUUACCACAUUGGUUUGACCAUCAGUUUGAGGGUGGCAUGUAGUAGAGUAAAGUAGUUUAGUACCUAACUUACCCCAUAACACCUUCCAAAAGUUACUAAGAAAUUUUGCAUCUCUAUCGAAACGAUAGUCCUUGGGAUUUCAUGUAAUCUCACAACUUCACGGAAAAAUAGAUCGGCAACAUGGGUUGCAUCAUCAGUCUUAUGGCAUGGAAUGAAAUGAGCCAUUUUAGAAAAUCGAUCUACAACCACAAAGAUGCUAUCUAGUCCACGCUUUGUCCUUGGUAAACCUAUUACAAAAUCCAUUGAAAUGUCAGUUCAAGGUGAACUAGGAACAGGAAGAGGAGUGUAUAGACCAUGAUGCAUCACAGUGGAUUUAGCUUGUUUACAAGUAAUGCAAGUAGAGCAAAUUUUCUCAACAAGUUUUCAUAUGUUAGGCCAAUAAAAAUGCUCAUGUAAAACAUCAUAAGUCUUAGUGACUCCAAAAUGACCCAUAAGACCACCACUAUGAGCCUCUCGAACCAACAAUUCUCGUAUUGAACACUUUGGUAAGCAUAGUCUAUUAUUUCGAAAAAGAUAGCCAUCGUGCUUAUAAAAUUUGUGAAAUGUACCAUGUUUACAUGCGUCAUAAAUGCUUGAAAAAUUAGAAUCAGUGGCAUAUAAAUCUUUGAGAUACUCAAAACCUAAUAACUUAGUAUGCAAAGUACUAAGUAAAGUGUACCUCCUUGAUAGAGCAUCAGCCACAAUAUUAUCUUUACCUUUCUUAUACCUUAUAACAUAAGGAAAAGAUUCAAUGAAUUCAAC
rnacentral:lncRNA from 1 species